GCACUCUGCAAACACGAAAGUGGACGUAUAGGGUGUGAUGCCUGCCCGGUGCUGGAAGGUUAAUUGAUGGGGUCAGCCGCAAGGCGAAGCUCUUGAUCGAAGCCCCAGUAAACGGCGGCCGUAACAAUAACGGUCCUAAGGUAGCGAAAUUCCUUGUCGGGUAAGUUCCGACCUGCACGAAUGGCGUAACGAUGGCCACACUGUCUCCUCCCGAGACUCAGCGAAGUUGAAAUGUUUGUGAUGAUGCAAUCUCCCCGCGGAAAGACGGAAAGACCCCAUGAACCUUUACUGUAGCUUUACAUUGGACUUUGAACAGAUCUGUGUAGGAUAGGUGGGAGGCUUUGAAGCGGGGACGCCAGUUCUCGUGGAGCCAACCUUGAAAUACCACCCUGGUUCAUUUGAGGUUCUAACCUUGGCCCGUUAUCCGGGUCGGGGACAGUGUAUGGUGGGCAGUUUGACUGGGGCGGUCUCCUCCCAAAGUGUAACGGAGGAGUUCGAAGGUACGCUAGUUACGGUCGGAAAUCGUGACGAUAGUGCAUUGGCAUAAGCGUGCUUGACUGCGAGACUGACAAGUCGAGCAGGUACGAAAG
rnacentral:rRNA from 15 species